UUCAGCAAUCUUCGCCAGUGAGCACACGAAUGGUGUUUCUUUCGUCUCUGCUCUCACUCUCGCUGCCAUCAACAACCCUCCUCCUCCUUCCCGACUGCUGCCUUUAACAGAGCGACAGUGGUAUGCCACCCGGACGCCUACAUGGGGAGCUGUUCAGGACUCGUCCAAUCGGGGGAAGACCCAGGACACGGUGGGGAGACUAUGUCUACCAGCUGGCUUAGGAACGCCUCAGGAUCCUCCGGGAAGAGCUGGACCUAGUAGAUUAGGAGAGGAAAGUCUGGAAUUCUCUGCUUAGGCUGCUGUACCCGCGACCCAACCUCUGGAUAGUAGAUGCUACGAAGCACCAUGGAUCAACUCCAGAAGAGGAAUCUAACUUUCAUCACCAUCGGACUAAUGUUCAUGCUUAGUGGCAUCGAGUAUGCUGUCAUUCUGCCGACAAUAUGGCGUUAUCUCCAGAUCUUAGAUGCCCCGCCGUACUUUUUGGGUCUGGGUCUGUCUGCUUUCAGUUUGAGCAGCCUUCUCAGCGGUCCAGUCUUUGGGUGCUGGUCAGACCGCAGUGGAACCACCAAGUCUAUUGUUCUUUUCUCCAAUCUUUUUGAGGUUGCCGGUAACUUCAUGUAUUUCAUUGGCUAUUCAAAGUGGUUGUUGCUAUGUAGCCGCCUGGUGGCAGGUGUGGGUGCAGGAGCAGGAUCCUCCAUCUUUUGUUACAUUACCAGGAGCACGCGCCCCGAUGAGAGAGCGAGUAUCUUUGCAGCCAUCAUGGCUUGUCGACAAGUCGGUCUCCUUGUGGGGCCGGCGUUCAACCUGUUCCUGCGGCUGUGUGAUUUCAAACUUGGACCCUUUGUUGUGAACAAGUUUACAUCUCCUGGGAUCUUCAUGUGUGUGUUGUGGGUGCUGCAGCAGUGGGUGGUCCUGGCUAUGUACUGGGACGUGGCGGCUAUCGGCGCCACCCAGGGGGCGGUGCCGAUGGUGGACCUGCAGGACGAAGGUGAAGACGUGGCCCUGAUGGGGUCCGACGAGGAGCAGGUGCACACCUACACCUACAGAGCCGUCGCCUCCCACCAACCGGAGAGCUCCACUUCCGCCUCGUCCGAAACGCCACGCGAGGGCUCCUCAGCCGAUCCCCAGCCCUUCAAAAACUUCAGCGUCAGCAAAGAGUUCCUGAGGGAGGAGGUGAUUGUUCUCCUCACCGCUCAGUUCAUCACUCUCUUCAAUCAGACUGCGCUGGAGACCAUGGUGACUCCUCUGACGCAGCGCUACUUCGGCUUUGGCGAGCUGGGCAACAGUGUGAUGUACAGCCUGUGUGGGGUGGAGGUCAUCCUGGGCUUCCUCUUUGUUCGCUGGCUGAGCGGGAAGGUGGCGGACCGUACGGUGCUGGCCGCGGGCCUGGUCAUCUGUGGCGCCGCCUGUGUCUGGUGCCUCGGGUUCCUCUGCGACCUCCAAGGUGCAAAACGCCUCAUGCAAUGGUGGCUACGCGUGGAAGCUGUCGGUCUUCGUCAUCGGGGUGUUCCUGCAGCUGCUGGGUCUGCCUUUUGUUGCCGUGUCCCAGGUGUCUCUGUUCUCCAAAGUCACGGCAGAGAAAACCCAAGGAUUCAGUCAAGGCAUUAGACGAUCGGUGGGGGGCCUCGCCACCAUCAUGGGCCCUUUGUGGGCUGGAGGAUUGACCAAUCAUCUCUACAUAAUGAUAGGCAUGAUGCUGGCUCUCCUCUUGAUGGUCUCAGUAAUGACGGCGUUGUCAUAUGGCCGCCUGACUCAGCCCAGAGCAGUGCGGUGUGCCCACAGCUCUGACAGCGGAGGGUAGAGCUGCAGGCGAAGUGAGGCUAAAAACAGAAGCGAUGCCCUUCAUCUCAAAAUGGAUCAAUGCAGAGGGACAGCAGAAAAUAAAACAUACUGUCACUGCCA